CAGAAUACCAUCCUGUUCCAUCUCAAACUGCCUCAUUACAUCUAUUUGUUUCCAGUUGGUGGAAAAGGCUCACCUUCUCAUUGGGCCCCAUUUUCAGGGGUGGGUUGUAGGAACUAGAGUACUGACUAGCCUUGCUUUGCAUUACUCCAUUCAAUGGGUUUGCUGCUGGGUGUGUGGAAGAUCAGCUUCCCACUGGGUCCUGCUUACACCAGGAUGUGAAAUGCUGACUAGCCCAAGUGGUUCUAGGUUGGAGGCGUUAGCAGCAUUUUGGCUGGGGUAUAUGGGAGGCAAUAUGGAAACCAUCAAACUUGUUCUCACGUCAUUCUGCAAGUCCUGGUGUCCUGAGGUAGGCUGACUUCUUCUUUCCACCAUCCAGAGUCUUUCUGUCUUUGCUUGUUGUGUUUUGUCCAGGAUAUUUUAAUUGUAAGAAGGAGUAGCUGGGAGGAAUGAGCCUAUGCCAUGUUGGCUGGAACUAAAAGUUCGUAGUAAUUUACUUUUCACACAUGGCAAUUUUCAAGAAAAUAAUAAGUGGAAAGAUUCCCAUCUUAUGCACAGGUGAUAUUUCAUAAGGAAGUUAAAAUUUUUCCUGUGAUAUUCUUGACAAAAUAUUCCUCUUGAAAAAAUGUUGACUUUAUUUCAACUUCUUUGUAUCUUAAUUGAGCGUGUAUGUCUCUUGCUCAAGAUAAUGUAAUACGGUUCAAUGUUCCAUCCUGACAAUUCUAAUGUAUAUUGAUGCUAUAGAUCUGGUUUAAGUUGGCUGUUUUUACCAUUUAUUAAGGAAGUUUCCACUCGUGGACACUAGUUUAGCUCCUCUUCCAUUAUACUUAUAAAUAUGCAUUGCAUGAAUAUUUAAAUGAGCAAUGAUAUUAUAAGCACUUUUUAUUCAAAACUUACACAAAAUAGUUUAUCUUGUAUGGAGCAUCACUAAAGGUGUAAAAGUAAAGUACUGAGUGGAAAUGUGACUGACAUGGGUCAGGAUGCUCAUGGCUGGCAGAGUCCAAUGAAAAAGAGCAAGAUCUGGUAGAAAGAAAGUGUUUUUAUUAACCAAAACUAGAAAUGGGGAAGUGGCCAAUUUCCUACCCAAAGCAACCGCUUCGAUUUCUGGUGGGAAGGCAAGAGUUUAAGAAGAGAAAAUUUGAUAAGGAAGGCACUAAUAAAUGUGCUGAGUAAUGUCUGUGUGUCUUUUUCCCGUGGCUAUCUUGGGUCCCAGCCCACCUGGACUGCAGGCUGGCAUUGUCUCAGGUAUGGCUGGGUUGUGACUUUGAAGUAGUCUCCAGAAUUUUGCAGCUGGGUCCCCAGGAUUGAUCUGUCUGUCUCAAGAUUAGCCCCUGGAAUUUCUAAGAAGGCAUGUAAAUAGAUACUAGAAUACAAUUAAAUAGAUGUGAAGGGAGUAUACAUGGUGAGAAAGGCAGGGAUGUGCAGUCUCUUUCAAGGAUAAGGGAAAAGACUUCUGCAGUUUCAAGGUUUUACUUGAAAAUCAAUAGAAAGGGAAAAAAAGGUUUAAUAAUGUAUUUUGAAGUUAAGCUGCCUGAUAACAGAACUGUAAGCUCUGAGGAAUGUUUUAAUUAAUCCAUUUAAAUAUUUUAGAGUAUAAACUAUCUGGAGUCCAAUGUAGGUUAUAAAGAAUUUUAAAUGUUCUUUUUCUUUCCUCAGAAGUUCAAGCAUUUCAUUUUAAAUAAAUAUAUUGGCACCAUGUGCUCUCUGUAAUACUAAAUGAUGUACUAGGCACUGAUGGAUUCCAGAUGGAGUAAGGACAUGAAAUUAAACUGGGGCAAUGAGUUUGGAUGAAGAACAGAACAGAGGUAAAGGGCCCUGUCAUCACAUCACAUGAGAAAGUCCAUGUUAUCAACAUGACAUCACUGGUGGUGCUAGCCAUGAUCACUGGGUGUGCUGAAGCCCUAUCCCCAAGAUGACUAUAUUUGGAGACAGGAUUUUUGGAGGAAUAUUUCAUCUUUUGGUUUAGAAAUUCAAAGCAUUCAAGUUUAUUAAGGUAAAUAAUACAUUUUUAACGUUACCUUCAUUGUAUUUUUUCUCAAGUGAUGUGUUAAAUUUAAAUGAUAAAUUUGUCUUUCUAGAAAUAUAUUUUGUUCUGGGUUAUUAUGGAAUUUCCAUUAUAGGACACAUGCACCUGUCUGUUCAUCACAGUGCUAUUCACAAUAGCCAAAACAUGGAAACAACCUAAGUGCCCAUCAACAGUGGAUUGGAUAAAGAACAUGUGAUACAUAUACACAAAAUCAUGUCUUUUACAGCAACAUGGAUACAGCUGGAGGCCUUAACUAAUUGAAUUAAUGCAGAAACAGAAAACCCAGAUACUUUUGGUGUCACUUAUAGGUUAGAGCUAACAUGCAGUACACAUAAACAUAAAGAUGAGACAAUAGGCAUGAGGAGUACUACAGCAGAGAGAGAGGGAUGGGGCCAAGGGCUGAAGAACUACCUAUUGGGUACUAUGCUGAAUACCAGGGAAACUGAUUCAGUCAUAUCCAAAACCUCAGCACCAUGCAAUAUACCUCUGUAAUAAUCCUUCACAUGUAACCCCUGAUUCUAAAAUAAAAGUUGAAAAAACAAAUAAAAAGAAACACUUGAGUUAAGAUAAGGGGAGUUGUAGAAGCCAAGGUUCUUGUUAAGAGGAUGAAGCCUCCAAGUAGCAGGCUGCAGAGAGAGUAGUUGGUAAAUCUCUCUCUUCCG
rnacentral:lncRNA from 1 species